UACGAAGGGGGCUAGCGUUGCUCGGAAUUACCGGGCGUAAAGCGCACGUAGGCGGCUUUCUAAGUCGGGGGUGAAAUCCUGGAGCUCAACUCCAGAACUGCCUUCGAUACUGGAGAGCUCGAGUCCGGGAGAGGUGAGUGGAACUGCGAGUGUAGAGGUGAAAUUCGUAGAUAUUCGCAAGAACACCAGUGGCGAAGGCGGCUCACUGGCCCGGUACUGACGCUGAGGUGCGAAAGCGUGGGGAGCAAACAGG
rnacentral:rRNA from 1 species